AUUCCCAAAGUGAGGAUUCAUUUCACACUUCUUCCUUCACUUCCAUCAUCUCUCUCAAUCUCGACUAUAGGCUUCAGAUUUUUUGGGAUCGUGAAGAACAACACCGUCCGGGAUGUCGAAACGAGGAAGAUGAGGUUCCGCCGGGUCUGUCGGUGGCGGCGACGGUGAACUGCGCCGAUAACACUAGUGCUAAGAACCUGUACAUCAUUUCCGUGAAAGGGAUCAAGGGAAGGCUUAACAGGUUGCCUUCAGCUUGUGUUUGAGAUAUGGUAAUGGCUACUGUGAAGAAGGGUAAGGCAGAUCUCAGGAAGAAGGUUAUGCCUGCUGUCAUUGUUCGUCAGCGCAAGCCAUGGCGUCGAAAGGACGGUGUCUUCAUGUACUUUGAAGAUAAUGUUGGUGUGAUUGUGAACCCCAACGAAAGAGUCUGCGAUGACUGGCCCAAUUGGUAAAGAAUGAAUUGAUCCAAAGCGCUCUCGUUCACUCAAACACCCUCAAACGUGACGUUUGGAGAUUACAAAGAAAGUAACCGUAGUGAAAGAAUAUUGAUAUCAAUUUCAGGACUGUUUCUGUGGACUUUGCAGGCUAACAUGAUCAAGAAGACUGGAACUACCGUAGUUGGCACAAAUAAAAAGAAGUGGAAUUUUCAAGGAAAUUGAGGUCAAGUAUCGACUUCAACAUGCUCGACUUUUGGAUUGAUGAUUUCAUAAAGAUUUAUUGCAAAUUUAUUAGAGAUUUUAAUUCCAUUUGAAUUAGGAGUUAAUUAGUUGGUUUUAUGUUGAGAUUAUUACAUUUAGUUAGAUCUCAAAUUUACUUGGGAUAGAAAAGAUAAUUUAUUUUGACAUUGUUUACUUUUACAGAAAACUUAUUAUAUUGCUAUUUUGUUCUUUGA